rnacentral:rRNA from 1 species
AGCGAACGCUGGCGGCAGGCCUAACACAUGCAAGUCGAACGAACCUUUCGGGGUUAGUGGCGGAAGGGUGAGUAACACGUGGGAACGUGCCUUUAGGUUCGGAAUAACUCAGGGAAACAUGUGCUAAUACCGAAUGUGCCCUUCGGGGGUAAGAUUUAUCGCCUUUAGAGCGGCCCGCGUCUGAUUAGCUAGUUGGUUGAGGUAAUGGCUCACCAAGGCGACGAUCAGUAGCUGGUCUGAGAGGAUGAUCAGCCACAUUGGGACUGAGACACGGCCCAAACUCCUACGGGAGGCAGCAGUGGGGAAUCUUGCGCAAUGGGCGAAAGCCUGACGCAGCCAUGCCGCGUGAAUGAUGAAGGUCUUAGGAUUGUAAAAUUCUUUCACCGGGGACGAUAAUGACGGUACCCGGAGAAGAAGCCCCGGCUAACUUCGUG